rfam:Deltaproteobacteria bacterium RIFOXYD12_FTLL_57_12 rifoxyd3_full_scaffold_278, whole genome shotgun sequence.
GCUGGCGUAGCUCAACUGGCAGAGCAGCUGAUUUGUAAUCAGCAGGUUGCGGGUUCAAGUCCCAUCGCCAGCU